ACAGGUGCUCUGCUUUGGAGUGUGACGACGUCGUCGGUGAUGUGGAGAGUGAAGUUUCUGUUUCACCCACAGCGUGCUUUAGGGCAGCCAGGUCGGACUUGAUGUUUGAAAUACUGACCAACAGCUCAGAUUUAACUGUCUGUAGUUCUGUUUUGAUGGGUGUUAAACUUUCACUCAAAGCCACCAGGAGCUGGGUCUUUAAAAUAACCGCCGUCUCGUUACAGAGUGAAAGUAGCAGUUCCUCCUUAAGGUCAGAGAUUGCAGCAUCUGAGGGCCUCUUCAAAAGAAGACGUAGUUGAUGAAGGCGUUCUGGAGCAGGACCAGAAAGACCACGACCAAGCAGCCUUGAGAUCUUAGACAGCGUCUCCCUCAGGUCCCUCUCUAUCUCCCCACACAUCCACCAACCACUGGAACACAUCUCCAAAGUUCUGCCAGGCCAGCUCAGCUUCCCCUCAGAAGAAGUGCCGCCACCUGCCAGAUGAAGGAGCCUUUUGAGAAGCAGCUGGCAUCGUGAUUGGACUGUACUUUGGUCUGUUCCAAUCCAGCUUCAGCUCCAGAGACGGCAGGCGGGACGAGUCAACUGAGGCCGGGUGGACGAAGGCAUGCAGCUGAGUACAAUCCAGAAAACAACAGAGGAGGAGUGCAGUGGCCCAGGGCCAGAACAAACAGAGUAGCAUCGUAUGUCUCUUAGAAAACAUCAUAGUAGAGCCUUUGGGAUGAAAAAACGCCAUCAUGUACAUCGUAUAUUGUACAAAUAACAAGUCAAAGGAAAGAGACAUACAUUGUAGAAUUGUAGUAAUUGUGGGCUGACUGAUUUACUGAUUAUCAGUAUUUUAUUUUUUACUGAUUUACGGUAAUAAAUACAUUUAAAAAUGG